rnacentral:tRNA from 1 species
CAGAGAAUAGUUUAAUGUAAAAUACCAGCUUUGGGAGUUGUGGAUGGAGGUUUAAGUCCUCUUUCUCUGA